rnacentral:rRNA from 1 species
UGCCAGCAGCCGCGGUAAUACGGGGGGUGCAAGCGUUAUUCGGAAUUAUUGGGCGUAAAGAGCGCGUAGGCGGCCAGAUAAGUCAGAUGUGAAAGCCCGGGGCUCAACCCCGGAAGUGCAUUUGAAACUAUUUGGCUUGAGUAUGGGAGAGGGAAGUGGAAUUCCUGGUGUAGAGGUGAAAUUCGUAGAUAUCAGGAGGAACACCGGUGGCGAAGGCGACUUCCUGGACCGAUACUGACGCUGAGACGCGAAAGCGUGGGGAGCAAACCGGAUUAGAUA